GACGAACGCUGGCGGCGUGCUUAACACAUGCAAGUCGAACGGAAAGGCCCUGCUUUUGUGGGGUGCUCGAGUGGCGAACGGGUGAGUAACACGUGAGUAACCUGCCCUUGACUUUGGGAUAUCUUCAGGAAACUGGGGCUAAUACCGGAUAGGAGCUCCUGCUGCAUGGUGGGGGUUGGAAAGUUUCGGCGGUUGGGGAUGGACUCGCGGCUUAUCAGCUUGAUGGUGGGGUAGUGGCUUACCAAGGCUUUGACGGGUAGCCUGCCUGAGAGGUGGACCGGCCACAUUGGGACUGAGAUACGGCCCAGACUCCUACGGGAGGCAGCAGUGGGGAAUAUUGCACAAUGGGCGGAAGCCUGAUGCAGCAACGCCGCGUGCGGGAUGACGGCCUUCGGGUUGUAAACCGCUUUCGCCUGUGACGAAGCGUGAGUGACGGUAAUGGGUAAAGAAGCACCGGCUAACUACGUG
rnacentral:rRNA from 1 species